GGGGGCGUAAAGGUUUCGACGGGGAUCCCGAAACGGGGUAAGCGAGCAGAAGCGCACAGCUUCUCUAAAAUGUGCAAAUUAAAAUUAAACGCUAACAAUCAGAAAUUAGCAGUCGCUGCCUAAGUGCAGUGACCGUCGCACCGGGGAGUACUGCGGCCCCGGCUGCGGCGUGACUCAGCAGUGAACGUGUACGGCGCAAAGCUUUGCGCGCCGUCAUGAAUCUAUGAAGCUACCGGCAGUUCGCGCCUGUCUUUCGGCGUGAACCGUGGGGAAUCUUAAAGAAAGACUGCGCUCGGAGAAAACACCGCGGACAGAUUUUCGGACAGGGGUUCGACUCCCCUCGCCUCCACCA
rnacentral:tmRNA from 1 species